rnacentral:pre_miRNA from 9 species
AAAAUAACAUGGCCAAAGAAAGUUAUGCCUACAAAAUCAUAUAGUCUGGCUAUGCUCAGACUAUAUGAUUUUGUAGGCAUAACUUUCUUUGGCCAUUUUAUUUUGU